UGCUGCCAUGACUAUUGCUUUAAGUGUGGGAUUUGCAGUAAACCAAUGGGUGAGCUUCUGGAUCAGAUCUUCAUUCACCGUGAUACCAUCCACUGUGAGAAAUGCUAUGAGAAGCUGUUCUAGGCUGAGAAGAAAGUGAUGACUCCUGGACAAGUUUGACUAUCCCCACUUGCCCCAAGUUGCUGGUUCUUCCCUCACUUCCUUCCUCAUGCUUUUGAUUUGUUCAUGUUUUUGCCCUUAUUAAGUUGAACUUGCUUACAUCCAGUAGCAUAUCUUGAUGAUGCUAUGAUAAUCCCUUGUGUGUGUACCUUUUUAUAGCUGAAAAAGUACUUCCCAUCCAUGAUCUUACUUCAGGUUCAAGCAAAGAGUGUUGAACCAUAAUUCCGUUUUGACUUCCCUAAGACUGGUCAGCUUCCUGAUGAGUUUAGGUGGCCUGAGUGUGACUUUGGGACUUGAAAGCAGAAGGAGACCCCCCUGAAGCUUCUUAGGGGCCAGGUUAAAGAAUGUCGAUGAUCCCUGGUGGGUAAAUUGCACACACUGAAUGCUAGGGAUCGACAUAGGCUAAUGUUUAGCUUGUCUAUUUGCCAUAUAUAUAUUUUUUGAACUUUCCAUAUCCUUUUACAACUAGUUUGUUGCUUUGAAUUGAGUUACAUAGAAGAUUUUAGUUACCUCCUCCUACCUACCUUUCAAUAUAGCUGAGUUCUUCCCUGUAAGCAUGUGGGCAUGUAUUAGAAAGUUUACACAUUAGGUUUAAAUUCUCUAUGAUGUAAUUCUGAAGAGCCUACUGACCAAAUGGACAGCUGUGUCUGAAUUUUGAUAGCUGAUUGAUACAUUUGACCUCAGUUUCCAACCCCUAAACUUUACACAGGGAUCCCCUAAAGUAGGUCUUAGAGUGUAUCGACUCCAGCAAGAUUACGAAGCGGGGGGGGGGGUGGGUGGGCGGAAUCAGCUAGUGUUCUUGAGGCCUUACUACAUAGCAGGCAUUAUAACAGAGUGAUGGCAUUAAUCCCCAUUCUAAUCUUGUGAAGAGGGUAUUCUUCUCCCUAGUUUGCAAAUAAGGAUAUUGAGGCUCAGAUAAGCAGUCAGAACCGUUGCUGUGUCUCUCCAGUAACUCUCACAGUAACUGAGCCUGUGUGGAGGUUACCUAGUCCUCCCGGGGAAACUGCCCCCCUCAGACCUUCCCUGAGGCACACUUUUACAAAGAGAGGCAGGUGGGAAAUUGCACUCCUCCUCUGGGCAUCCUGGGUAAAAUACAAGAAGAGCCAAACUGGGCUCCCUCACCCUCCUUUUCCAUGAAAACACUUCUGAACUGAAAUAAUCUUAGCUGGGAAGAGAUUUGACUCACAGAUUUUCCCAAAGAAGAGCUUGUCGACCCAGGGGAAACUCCAGUGGGCUCACUGAUCUGAGCACAGGGCCCUCAGUGAUGUCUCAUUUUCCAGUCCAGACUCUGUCCCAAGCUAACAGCAACUACCAAGACCCUAGGAACUUGGAAGAGGGACUCCUGUUGGCCUGCUGGACAGAUGUAGGCCCAUGUAGCUGGGCUUCUCCACCUUUGGGACCAGGAUUACUGUGUAAAUUGGGCUUCCCUGGUGGCUCAGUUGGUAAAAAUAUGCCUGCAAUGCAGGAGACCCCAGUUUGAUUCCUGGGUCAGGAAAAUCCACUGGAGAAGGGAUAGGCCACACACUCCAGUAUUCUUGGGCUUCCCCUAUGGCUCAGCUAGUUAAGAAUCUGCCUGCAAUGCAGGAGGCCUGAGUUUGAUCCUUGGGUUAGGAAGAUCCCCUGGACAAGGGAAAGGCUGCCCACUCCAGUAUUCUGGCCUAGAGAAUUCCAUGGACUGUGUAGUCCAUGGGGUCACAAAGAGUAGAAUGAGACUGAGCGACUUUCACUUUCACUGUGUAAGUUCCACAAAAGGACAAACUGACAGUUUUUCUGAUUAAAUCAUUUUUAAUGAUUGGCCUUUUUAAAAUGACCUUUUCUCUUGAUUCCAAAGAAUUUGGGCUGCCUUUCUGAGUGUCUGGUGUCCUCUGCUAGCGUUCAGAAGUUGUUUUGUGGAUGUUUCUCCACAUUCAAAUAAUCUUUUUUUUUUCCUAUGAGCCUGUGCGGGGGGAAGUGGUCCCUCCGUCCUAUUCUUCCACCAUUUUGGGACCACCCCUUCUCUUGAUUUCAUUAGAAAUCUCUGUCCAGUUUCUGAGAUCUGUGCACACUGGAUGGUGGACUUUUUCUUUUUGCCAAAUGAUCAGAGAAUAUUCCAUUUAUUUACAUGGAUGUGCAUCAGAUUUGGUCUGGAGGGGAAAAUUGACACAGCAUGCCAUGUCCUGACACAAAAUAUGAGCUGAUUUUCCUCAAGACUAGCUCUCAGCCUGGGACUUGGCACAUGAUAGGGAUUGACACAUAGGUGCUGAAUGAAUUAGUGAAAGGGAAAGAGGUCCAAGACAGGCUGGCUUCCCCACCUUCAAGAUACACUCUGUCUUUAAGGGAGUUUUAGAACCAAUGUGCAAGAUACUGAUUUUAAUCUGAAAAAAAUCUUUCAUGGUUGAAAUGGCUCACAAUUCUGCAGACUUAAGAAAGAGAGGUGGUUGCAUUACACUUUGCUUCUUUUUAUUUGCCUAGAAUUUUUAAUCAUACUUGCUUGACUCACAGUAAUGUACACAAACAUAAUAAAUGGUGAGAUACUUUA